rnacentral:lncRNA from 1 species
CUCAGAGGUUUCUGCAAAGACUAAGAUUCUAUGAUUGUAUUCUCUCAUUUCUCCCAGUGUUCUAAGGGCGAGCUGCCAUCACAAGACUGGGACGUUGGCUCCUCCAGCAGCUCUGUGCGCGCGCGGAGAAUAGCGGAAGGAGACGUGAGGAGAAUCCUCGGGCCGAAAUACAAUAGGAUUCAAGGAAAGUCUGAAGGGCGGACCUGCCCUGAAUAUGAAACGACCAAAAUCAGGGUCAUCUGAUGCAUGGUGUGCACAUCUAACACAAGCUUCGUAUUCUGUAUACUCCUGCCUUUCAAUAAGUGGCCAUUGAUAAACUGAUUCAGCUUUCUCUUAUAAUAAGGUUUUUCUUGAGCUUCGCUUCAUUGCCAGGCCUGUUUUACUGCAAUUUGGAUAUAGAUGGAAAUUAUGUACCGUGCCCUCCGAAGCCCACUUACAGCGUGCAGGAAACCUUUAGUUUCUGAAGACUCACUCAGCACCUGUUGGUGGCGUGUGGCAGGGGGAAGGCAUAUAGCUCAAGGGAAGAUCUUAACUCCACCACACACUAGGAAUUGGGGGAGGCAUCAUGGAGGCUAGGGAGAGGGCUGGCAUUUAAGCAAGACAGUAAGGAAAACAACUGAAGAAGGUUGGUUGAUUUAUAUAGGAAAGUUUUCUAGGCAGUAUUUUCACUGAAAAACAUUGUUUUCCUUAAAGAUGCAUAUAGAAAGAGAUAAUAUUUUAAUAUAUAACAGAACAUUUGAAGGGAGUGUUAUAGUGGAAAUAGACUUCAUACAAAACACAAUUGAUAAAAUUACAUAUUAUAUAGAUCGUGUGUGUGUGUGGUGUAUCUAUAUCACAUAGGGUAUAUGCAAUUGAUAUAAAUAUACACAUUAAUAUAUAUAACAUAAAUGUAGAUUCAUACAUAUAUUGUAUAAGGAUAUUUAAAUAGCAUUAUACAUAUAUAUUACAUCUACAGAGAUGCUCAACUCUAGCGACUGUAAGUACAUUAUUUCUAGUCAGAACUUGCUUGUGACAAAUUAAGUGUAGGAUAAGCCAUGAUAAAAGUAUGGAUAAGUGAAAAAAAAAAGUACGGAUAAAUGAGAUAUUUUAUGAGAACAAAAAUAUCCAGCAAGUAUAAAUUGAUAUUAAUCAGCAAAUUUAGUUACGUUAGUAGACAAUGUGUAUCCUUUGAAAUUACAUCUUUACUAAUCAAUGUCACCGGCAGGUCCAGCUUCAUGAAAUGAGACCAGUGUCACAGAGGAAGGGCCCAUGUUUUGGGUUUGAUGCUUUGUGGCUGCUGGUUUGAAAUUUUACAUAAUUUUACCUUUUAAUUUAAGUGAAGACAAGUGGGACAAUAGACUCUUGGCUGCCCCAACACCAGCUGCAUCCCCCUACUCUGAGGAGGGCUUUGGCCCAGGGCAGGGAAGGCUGGGUGCAGGUCUUGAGCACCCACAUGUCCACAGGAUGGGUCUCGGGUGCCUGUGAGUGUCUCACUUGGCCCAUGAUUAUCCCCGAGGGAGUGCAGGAUUAAAUAGUGAAUAUGAAACAUCAGAAAAGGUCAAGGAAGAAGUACUUUUUUCUCCCAUUUAGAAAAAGGGUCCUGGCAUUUUUAUUUUGCACUCAAUCCCACAAAUUCUGUUCCUGGCCCUGGCCACUAGUGAUUAUUAACCUUUCAGAAUGCCCCCUUCUCUUGGUAAUAAAAAGCGAGUUUUGUUUUCUUCUCCCUGGAUGCCAACCUCCAGUGAAUUGCUCAUCCAUGUGAGGGGCUGGAUAUCAGCCAUACUACCAUCAUCUGAAGCAACUGUUCUCUCAUACUGCCCCAAUCUCUUUCAGCUUAAAAUAGAAUUCCAGCACCAGAAGAGUCACCACGGAUUGUUGGUCAUCUUAUGCCCUUUGGAGGACGGAUCCCUGUUAAAUUGAUUUCAGAUCACAUGGAGACGUGUUCUAAAGCAAGUAUCCACCCAGAUGAAGAGAACAGACAGAUGGACAGAGAGGACACUGGCUUCUUGCUUAAGUGUAGAACAUAUUACUGCUUUCAAGCUCCAGGCUUGGCUAGAAUAAGGCUGCCAUGGGCAAUCACUUUUGGAAGAGUCUCAGAGAUUCCCUUUAAGACAAUAUGAUUCUGGGAAAUAUAUUCUAAUGUCUUCCAGAAUCAAUUAUACUCUGAUGCUCAAAAGCUGAGCUCAAAACCGGGAGCUGAUCAACAGAGCUCCUGGUUGACAUAAUAUUGUGAUAAAAAGGAUCCACACCACUGCUCUGAUUACAGAGUCAAGAAGCAAAGCCAAUGCCUACUGAAGACCAAUAUUCAAGAGCCUGCCUCUCUUGACUCUAGGGAGGACAGACGCUGCUCGUGCUCAGGCAAAAUACUGAUUGAGGAACAUUGCAAACUCUGCAUUCGUUACUGAAAUAAAAGGGUUUUGGGUCUGAGAGAGCCUCCAUCUUGGUAUCAGGAUGCAUGAAACUGACAAUUGAUAAUUCAGGCUGUGAAAUCUCCAUUGACUUUAUUGGUCUACAAAUCUGAAAUGAGAAUCAGCUAGUGCUGAUAUAGACCAUUGCAGAAUCUCCCUCAUCUGAGACUGCACCACCUCCCACUAUUCUAGGAUGCCUACCA